rnacentral:rRNA from 1 species
AGAGUUUGAUCAUGGCUCAGAAUCAACGCUGGCGGCGUGCCUCAGACAUGCAAGUCGAACGCGAAAGCCCUUCGGGGCAAGUAGAGUGGCGCACGGGUGAGUAACACGUAGGUAAUCUACCUUUGGAUUGGGAAUAACAACCGGAAACGGUUGCUAAUACCGAAUAAUGCAGCGGCACCUAAUGGUGACAGUUGUUAAAGCGGGGGAUCGCAAGACCUCGCGUCUGAAGAGGAGCCUGCGGCAGAUUAGCUAGUUGGUAAGGUAAUGGCUUACCAAGGCGAUGAUCUGUAGCCGGCCUGAGAGGGCGGUCGGCCACACUGACACUGACAUACGGGUCAGACUCCUACGGGAGGCAGCAGUCGGGAAUUUUGGGCAAUGGGCGAAAGCCUGACCCAGCAACGCCGCGUGAAGGAUGAAAUCCCUCGGGAUGUAAACUUCGCAAGAACGGGAAGAAUAAGUGAGAGCUAACAUCUCUUACGAUGACGGUACUGUUUGUAAGCUCCGGCUAACUCCGUGCCAGCAGCCGCGGUAAUACGGGGGGAGCAAGCGUUGUUCGGAUUUACUGGGCGUAGAAGGCGCGUAGGCGGCCACCGCAAGUCGACUGUGAAAUCUCCGGGCUUAACCCGGAACGGUCGGCCGAUACUGCGGGGCUAGAGUGCAGAAGGGGCAACUGGAAUUCUCGGUGUAGCGGUGAAAUGCGU